UACGAAGGGGGCUAGCGUUGCUCGGAAUUACUGGGCGUAAAGCGCACGUAGGCGGAUUGUUAAGUCGGGGGUGAAAUCCUGGAGCUCAACUCCAGAACUGCCUUCGAUACUGGCGAUCUAGAGUCCGGGAGAGGUGAGUGGAACUGCGAGUGUAGAGGUGAAAUUCGUAGAUAUUCGCAAGAACACCAGUGGCGAAGGCGGCUCACUGGCCCGGUACUGACGCUGAGGUGCGAAAGCGUGGGGGAGCAAACAGG
rnacentral:rRNA from 1 species